AUGGCCUCACAAGCAAUCCUGGAAGCCUUUGGGAGAAUCUCUGGACUCUACACCAACUUCAACAAGUCCUCGGCUUUCCCUAUCUGUUGUGAUGAGCUGGCAAUUAAUGAAGUGCUCUCCGAGUUUGCCGGAACAACUGACUCUUUCCCUUGCAAAUAUCUCGGGCUACCACUUAGCCUCCGCAACCUUAGGCGCGCCGACCUCCAAACUCUGAUUGACAAGAUAGCUGUGAAGCUCACAGGAUGGAAAGGCAAGCUCCUGAACAAAGCGGGAAGGCUAACGUUGAUCAACUCGGUCCUUACCUCUAUCACCACCUACCUGUUGACCCUGUUCGCUCCUAGCAAGUGGCUGAUCAAGAGGAUCGACAAGCUUAGGAGAAGUUUUCUUUGGAAGGGCAGUGAGGAGGAGGCCAAAGGUGGGAGUUGUGCAGUCAACUGGCAGCUGGUUUGCUCACCAAAAAAGUACGGUGGACUGGGCAUCAAAAACCUCUCCUCUUUUAGCAGAGCUCUACGGCUGCGGUGGGCCUGGUUCGCGUGGCAAUGCCAACCUAGGCCCUGGUUUGGAAUGAAACUCCCCUGCUCUGAAGCGGAUAUGCAACUCUUCCAUGCCUCCACCAACAUUCACCUUGGAAAUGGGCAAACUACGAGUUUCUGGAAGUCAAAGUGGUUGGAUGGGGCCGCACCACGUGACCUUGCACCCUUCCUCUUCAAGCUGGCGCGCAGGAAAAACUACACGGUGGCUCAGGCCAUGCAUGAAAGGAAGUGGAUGAAGGGGCUUGAAAGAAUCAGCUCCCAUAAUGAUCUGCACUCGUUUCUGCUUCUGUGGGAGAAGAUUCAGAGUGUCAACUUAUCUGAAGCAAGAGAUACCAUUGAUUGGAUCUGGACGAAGGACAAGAAAUACACCGCCAAGUCUGCAUAUUCCUGUCAGUUCAUUGGUUCGAUUGCCAAGCCUAAUGCUGAACUGAUUUGGAGGCUCAAGAUUGAAAGAAAGCCUGCUAGCAUUCAGUCCAUCUCUCAUUGGUGGAGUGUUUGCUCCCAGCGCAACAAAGAGCAGGCCGUUGCUGCUGCUUAUUUUGCUUGGCACAUGUGGAAUGAGAGGAACAAGAGGGUCUUCAACGCCAAGUCUACCUGAGCGGACGGCGUGGUCUCUCUAAUUAAAGCUGACUUAGAUUUCCUGAGAGUAGCGCUGUAA
rnacentral:rRNA from 1 species